GGCUCCGCGGUCGCCGGUUUCUCUUCCCAGCUCUGCCCUCGCUUGCUGGCCGGUCUCCGGGGUCAGCGCGGGGCCACCAUCCAGCCCCUUGGGGCCCGCCCCAAGCAGCUGUCGAGGACGCACUCAGCCUGCGCAGCCAUGGCCUCGGCAGGGGCGGAGAGGCGGCCGGGGGUCCAGGAGGCGACGGUCGUGGGGCAGGGACAGCUCACGGAGGAGCCCGGCAGCGCUCAGACCUCCGAGGUCUCUCAGCCUCCCGGGCCUUCGUGCCCAUCUUAAGGCUGAAGCUGAGCUGCCACCCAAGCUGCCGCUGCAGGAGGAGGAGCCAGAGGACAGCCAGAGUGAGCCCUCACCAUCUGCCAAACAGCACAAAAAAGCCAAGAAGCGCAAGAGCCUGGGGGCUCCCGUGCUCCACGCUGUGGCCAGCAUGGUGUCUGCACCCUUAGAGACAUUGAGGCUGGAGC
rnacentral:lncRNA from 1 species